rnacentral:rRNA from 1 species
UACGUAGGGAGCAAGCGUUGUUCGGAUUUACUGGGCGUAAAGGGCGCGUAGGCGGCAGAUCAAGUCAGCUGUGAAAUCUCCGAGCUUAACUCGGAACUGUCAGCUGAUACUGUUUUGCUAGAGUGCGGAAGGGGCAAUCGGAAUUCUUGGUGUAGCGGUGAAAUGCGUAGAUAUCAGGAGGAACACCGGCGGCGAAAGCGCGAUACUGGGCCAUAACUGACGCUGAGGAACGAAAGCCAGGGGAGCGAAAGGG